GGAGGGGUGGGAGAGUGGUUAAAUCCACCAGACUGUAAAUCUGGCGCCGUAUGGCUACGCUGGUUCGAAUCCAGCCCCCUCCA
rnacentral:tRNA from 1 species